ensembl:lncRNA
AGAAACAGACAAACUAUAUUUGAAACCUAGGUUAAAGGUCAAGUUUAAAGGUGUAAAAACAAGUACAGGAUAUUUACAAUGAGCAGACCUCAGUGCAAGAAAGUGUAAUUCUAACACUGAAAAGGUCAAAGGUCAACUUUAACAUUAAAAGGUGUAAAAACAAGUACAGGAUAUUUACAAUAAGCAGACCUCAGUGCAAGAAAGUGUCUUUCCAACACUGAAAAGGUCAAAGGUCAACUUUAACAUUAAAAGGUGUAAAAACAAGUACAAGAUAUUUACAAUAAGCAGACCUCAGUGCAAGAAAGUGUCUUUCCAACACUGAAAAGGUCAAAGGUCAACUUUAACAUUAAAAGGUGGUCAAACAAGUACAAGAUAUUUACAAUAAGCAGACCUCAGUGCAAGAAAGUGUCUUUCCAACACUGAAAAGGUCAAAGGUCAACUUUAACAUUAAAAGGUGUAAAAAGAAGUACAGGAUAUUUACAAUAAGCAGACCUCAGUGCAAGAAAGUGUCUUUCCAACACUAAAAAGGUCAAAGGUCAACUUUAAAGGUGUAAAAACAAGUACAGUAUAUUUGCAAUAAGCAGACCUCAGUGCAAGAAAGUGUAUUUCCAACACUGAAAAGGUCAAAGGUCAACUUUAACAUUAAAAGGUGUAAAAACAAGCACAAGAUAUUUACAAUAAGCAGACCUCAGUGCAAGAAAGGGAGGUGGGGGGGUACUCACCUUCCACUUCACUGACACACAUCAGCAUCCAGUUCUCCAUGAGAAGAGGGGGAGGGGGAGAGGGCGAUGUACUCACCUUUAUUGACGCGCUCGGUUUCAGUGUCCCAUGCUUCAUCAGAAGAGAUGGCGCUCAGGAGAGUGUCAUCAAGGCCUCGUUCUCGGGACGUUCAACAAU